ACGGAGAACUUAUUUCGGUAAGUUCUUAGUGGCGAACGGGUGAGUAACGCGUGGGCAACCUGCCCUCCAGUUGGGGACAACAUUCCGAAAGGGAUGCUAAUACCGAAUGUGCUCCCUCCUCCGCAUGGAGGAGGGAGGAAAGAUGGCCUCUGCUUGCAAGCUAUCGCUGGAAGAUGGGCCCGCGUCUGAUUAGCUAGUUGGUGGGGUAACGGCUCACCAAGGCGAUGAUCAGUAGCCGGUCUGAGAGGAUGAACGGCCACAUUGGGACUGAGACACGGCCCAAACUCCUACGGGAGGCAGCGGUGGGGAAUCUUCCGCAAUGGACGAAAGUCUGACGGAGCAACGCCGCGUGAGUGAUGAAGGUCUUCGGAUUGUAAAACUCUGUUGUUAGAGACGAAAGCACCGUGUUCGAACAGGUCAUGGUGUUGACGGUACCUAACGAGGAAGCCACGGCUAACUACGUGCCAGCAGCCGCGGUAAUACGUAGGUGGCAAGCGUUGUCCGGAAUUAUUGGGCGUAAAGAGCAUGUAGGCGGGCUUUUAAGUCUGACGUGAAAAUGCGGGGCUUAACCCCGUAUGGCGUUGGAUACUGGAAGUCUUGAGUGCAGGAGAGGAAAGGGG
rnacentral:rRNA from 1 species